GUAUUGGAUUGAGCGAUAGACUUUGAUAUUUGACUUUCUCUGUAAUUUUACGGGACGAUCGUUGAUGGGGUAUUGACUAUAUUAAACCCCUUUUUGGUGUAGUUUAAGGUAAUUUGAAUUUUCGAGAACAUAUUUUGAUUUACUAGAAGGUGGUGCUUGAAUUGUGCAUUCGAGGUAAGUGAGACUUUAAGCUUUGAUGCUUGCUUUUCAAAUCUGAUUUAUAAAAAUUAUAUUUUUCUACCUAGUCCAUGUGUUGGGACAAGCGUGAACUUGGUAGAAUUUGUGGCUUUUGACUAGCUAUGGAUAUGUAUUUUGAAAAAUGUGUUGAUAAUUGUUUAGAGUGAAACGUGAGGUGAGGGUUGGACGUUGAAUAUAUUUUCUUCACUGCUGUUAUAGUCUCUAGGGGCAUACAUAGCUGCCGUAAUAUGUUAGGGGCAUUACUUAUGCUGCCGUAAUAUGUUAGGGGCAUUAUUUAUGCUGCUUUAAUAUGUUUGGGGCAUUACCUAUGCUGUCGUAAUAUAUUAGGGGCUUGUACAUGCUGUCGUAGUGGACUUUUCGUGGCAUUAUAUAUGUUGCCGUGGACUUGUCGGGGUUUUAGGCCGAUCACCUUCACUGCCGUUUAUAACAAGUCGUGAGUGUGGAUUGAGUUGUUAUAGGAUGACAUUUUGAACCACUUUGAAAAUCUUAUUGAUAUUAUUUUAUGAAAGAUAUUAUGUACAUAUUAUUUGUGUAUCUUUGUUGUGCUUUGUAUUUUUUAACACUUGUUCCAGAGGUAUUAAAUUAGCGAGUCGAGGAUCUUACUGGUUUAUAUAUUUAUAUAUAGAUCACUCCUUACUUGCAUACGUGCAGAUACGGUUGCAGAGAGAGAGGCUCGAGGCUGAUUGUUUUUACAUGAGGAUUCUAUCGCUAAGGUGUAUUUCACUUCAUACUUUCAAAUGACAGAUUACAUCAACAAUAUAUACACAAAGUUAGACACAAAAGGUCAAGAGUAGAUCCUAAAAUCAUACCUUCUACCUAAAAUAAUUGACUAUCCAUUAGAUAUAUUUUUGACAUUUACAACUUCUAGAUGUAUCUUUGACAUUUACUACUUCUACAUAUAUCUUGACACUAAUAAAAUCAUAUGUAAUUUUUAUUUUU